rnacentral:lncRNA from 10 species
GUUCAAGCAGUCACUUGAAUGCCAGUUUAGAUUCAAGAGGAGAACAAUUAGACUCCACCAAUGUCAGACUGCUAAAAUGUAAAAAAUGGCCAUCAGGAUUUUCUAGGGCAGCAUAAUUAUUCUGCGAGUAGGUAAAGGAGUUUUGAUUGAGAUGAAGAGGUCAUAGAAGUGAGAAGCACUGAAAGACACAGAGCAGAGGAGGCUCACCGCAUGUCUACCACCGCACAGGCCCAUGGAAAGUAUUGACGGGCUUUCGUCAGUGUUCACUUAAGCCCCAAGAGCUCUUCAGUUAGCUUGUGGUAAUGUUGCCAGGCCUGAGAUUCAGUGUUCAGGGAAGCAUGCUCCCUUCUGGCCCACAUCUAGGUCUGUAAAUGUUAUCCAAUUGCCGAGGCCUGGAGCUAGUUCCUAAGGUACAAGUUUUUUUGCUGAGCUAGUUCCUAAGGUACAAGAAAAAGACUGCUUUACUUUUCCUUUUGCUUUUCUCAAGCAGAUAGAGUCUCUCACCACAGCCACCACAGCUUUGUAUGUGCUGUGUCCCACCUGAAGCUAGCAGGUU